CAAUGGGUAAUUAUUUGGGUAUUUGAAAUUCAAAAGGAGAGGAGUUGUGUAGUGUGUUGUGUUGUUGACUACCACAAAACGAUAAAAAGUAUUUUCGGUUUAUUUAUUUAGAAUUUAUUGGUAUUUUAUGAAUGUGAUUUCGAAUGAUAGAUUUCUGUUUAAAUAAUUAUUGUAGAUAACAGUUCAGCGGCAGUUGAGUAGGUACCUAAUAAAUUUUGCUGAGUUUUCAUCAUAUUUCAAACGUGCGCUAUCUUUUUAAUGUGCGAUUGUUAUUACACACUACAAAGUAAUAUAAUACCAAGGAAAUGUACUGUAUAAUAGUUUUCAUGUAGUAUGUUUGGAUCCAAAUAUUACGUAGAUCGAGAUUUCGAGGAUAAUUUCGAGAGCGAGCGGGUGCGGCACCGCUACCAUUGGAAUAUGGCGAAUACGGCGUACAUUGCCGUAGCUGGCGCCCUGGUGCUGCUAAUCGUGCUGCUGUGCUGCUGUCGGCGCCGCAGAAACCGCGGCCAGGUGCUAUCGCCUCCGGUAGUCCAGACCACGGUCACCAGCAGCCAGCCGGCUCCGUAUCCGCAGCAGCAGUACGCGCCGCAGUAUCCAGUAGUGACGCCGUACCCGACGCAGAAUACCAGCAUGCCGUACCC